GCCCGCUUGGCUCAGGGGUAGCGCGUAUCACUAGUACUAUGCUAUGAUAAGGUCGACAGUUCGAAUCUGUCAGCGGGCA